AAACCCAUUCCGAGUACCUUGACCUGUUGCUUCCAUGGGGCCUGACCUUGGUCACUCUUGAGAUGUGAAUCCCAGGAGAGUUCCCAUGGGAGGUAAUCAUUAAAUUCAUGUAUCCAAUGUCUUCUGUCUGAACUGUUUAUAACGAAUGAUAAAACUUUCAACAACGGAUCUCUUGGUUCUCGCAUCGAUGAAGAACGCAGCGAAAUGCGAUAAGUAGUGUGAAUUGCAGAAUUCAGUGAAUCAUCGAAUCUUUGAACGCACAUUGCGCCUCCUGGUAUUCCGGGAGGCAUGCCUGUUCGAGCGUCAUUAAAUACCUCUCAAGCAGAUUUGCUUGGUCUUGGAAGAUGAGUUUGCUUGCAUUCUCCCUUCUGAAAUUCAAAGGCGGAUGAUCUCAUAUCCCCAGGCGUAGUAAGAUUAUCUUUUCGCAUGGUGUGUGUGAUAGUCCAGCCGUCGACCCCCAAUUUUUUCAAGGUUGACCUCGGAUCAGGUAGGGA
rnacentral:rRNA from 1 species